UACGUAGGGUGCAAGCGUUUAAUCGGAAUUACUGGGCGUAAAGCGUGCGCAGGCGGUUUUUGUAAGACUGUCGUGAAAUCCCCGGGCUCAACCUGGGAAUGGCGAUGGUGACUGCAAGGCUAGAGUUUUGGCAGAGGGGGUAGAAUUUCCACGUGUAGCAGUGAAAUGCGUAGAUAUGCGGAGGAACACCGAUGGCGAAGGCAAUCCCCUGGGCCUGCACUGACGCUCAUGCACGAAAGCGUGGGGAGCAAACAGG
rnacentral:rRNA from 1 species